GACGUAGGGCGCGAGCGUUGUCCGGAAUUAUUGGGCGUAAAGAGCUCGUAGGCGGUCUGUUGCGUCUGCUGUGAAAACCCGGGGCUUAACCCCUGGCUUGCAGUGGAUACGGACAGACUAGAGGUAGGUAGGGGAGAAUGGAAUUCCCGGUGUAGCGGUGAAAUGCGCAGAUAUCGGGAGGAACACCGGUGGCGAAGGCGGUUCUCUGGGCCUUACCUGACGCUGAGGAGCGAAAGCGUGGGGAGCGAACAGG
rnacentral:rRNA from 1 species